rnacentral:misc_RNA from 1 species
GCAAACUAUGUCCCUCUAUCCAAUUUUAUAUCUUAAGGUGAUCUUCACAUUUUAUUUGCACUUGUUAAUGCAAUGUCAUAUUUCUUCUGAAAUAUACUUCCAUGUCAGCCUGUAUGGCUUUUAGUGAUUGUUGAAUGUUUUCCUUUCUGUUGAAGGCAUUGUUUUUAUUUAUUUCUCCGUUUUAUUGGCUACUGUUAAUACCAGACUAUGCAAAGUACCUGCUGCUCUGUAAAUGUCAAUCACUUUUUUCUGUCAACUGUUUUUAACAAUGCAUUGUUAAUGUGAAAUUGUAAAUUGAAUCAAUUUAUGAAUAUGUAUACUUUGCAUUGUGCAUCAGUAUUUGAUUCGAUGGAAUUAAUUUACGAGGCAUUUGGAGGCAGAUCUUUGGUGUCAGACGUUGAUCUAUACUGCUGUAUGUAUAUUAAUGGUGUGCGAGUGUGAUAGAUUUGUUUUUGUGCAUGAAAGACGUUGUUUGAGUUGACAUGUAGAUACAAGAGUUAAUAAUAUAUACUCCCUGCUAUACUGUACUGGAAUCCAGGAAGACUGGCUCAGUCUAACAGAAAAUUCACUAAGGGCUGAGGACAUUUUGGGCUUUGUUGCAUGUUGGCCUAAUCUUUUGAAGUUAAGUUGCCAUGUACAUCCAAUAAAUGAAAUGGACACUUU